rnacentral:rRNA from 1 species
UACGGGGGGGGCAAGCGUUGUUCGGAAUUACUGGGCGUAAAGGGCUCGUAGGCGGCCACGUAAGUCGGGUGUGAAAUCCCCAAGCUUAACUUGGGAACUGCAUCCGAUACUGGAUGGCUUGAAUACGGGAGAGGGAUGCAGAAUUCCAGGUGUAGCGGUGAAAUGCGUAGAUAUCUGGAGGAAUACCGGUGGCGAAGGCGGCAUCCUGGACCGGCAUUGACGCUGAGGAGCGAAAGCUAGGGGAGCAAACGGG